GGGAUUGCCCUAGUAACGGCGAGUGAAGCGGCAACAGCUCAAAUUUGAAAUCUGGCGCAAGCCCGAGUUGUAAUUUGUAGAGGAUGCUUCUGGGUAGCGACCGGUCUAAGUUCCUUGGAACAGGACGUCAUAGAGGGUGAGAAUCCCGUAUGUGACCGGCCCGCACCCUUUACGUAGCUCCUUCGACGAGUCGAGUUGUUUGGGAAUGCAGCUCUAAAUGGGAGGUAAAUUUCUUCUAAAGCUAAAUACCGGCCAGAGACCGAUAGCGCACAAGUAGAGUGAUCGAAAGAUGAAAAGUACUUUGGAAAGAGAGUUAAAAAGCACGUGAAAUUGUUGAAAGGGAAGCGCCUGCAAUCAGACUUCGCGGCAGUGUUCCGCCGGUCUUCUGACCGGUUUAUUCUCUGUCGCGAGGCCAUCAUCGUCUCGGCCCGCUGGAUAAGACCUUGGGAAUGUAGCUCACCUUCGGGGGAGUGUUAUAGCUCAUGGUGAUGCAGCGAGGCUGGGGCGAGGUCCGCGCUUCGGCAAGGAUGAUGGCGUAAUGGUUGUCGGCGGCCCGUCUUGAAACACGGACCAAGGAGUCUAACAUCUAUGCGAGUGUUCGGGUGUCAAACCCCUACGCGUAAUGAAAGUGAACGGAGGUGGGAACCGCAAGGUGCACCAUCGACCGAUCCUGAUGUCCUCGGAUGGAUUUGAGUAAGAGCAUAGCUGUUGGGACCCGAAAGAUGGUGAACUAUGCCUGAAUAGGGUGAAGCCAGAGGAAACUCUGGUGGAGGCUCGCAGCGGUUCUGACGUGCAAAUC
rnacentral:rRNA from 1 species